AAAAAGAAGAGAAUGAGAGGAAAGAAAAAGAGGAGAAAGUAACAAAAGGAAAAGAAGAAAUUGUGAGAGAAAAGGAGAAGGAAAAUGUCCUAGUCACAAAGGAAGUGUUACUACAGGCACUUUCCACUCCCAUCUUUCUACAUGAUUCAAGCCAUGACAGGGGAGGUUUUUCAUCCUUCCGCUUUUCCCCAAUUCUUAAACUUUCUUCUUUUUCUAAAAACUUUUGUGAAAAUAUCCCACCUUUCUCAUCUCUUAUUACAACUUCU
rnacentral:lncRNA from 1 species